AUGUGGCCCCAACCCCGCCUCCCUCCCCACACCACCAUGUAGGAAGAAACUCAACAGAGCAAAUUGGCUGCAGCCAAGAAAAAGGUAAAAACCACCAGGUCAUAGCCCCUGACCCACCUGCAGACUUCCUCUGACGGCAGGACUACUGCCAGAGACUAAGACAACCACUUCUGGUGGUUGCCACUCACCUGGGGAUAGCCGGUACCAAGAACUAGCAGUAGCCCUGGACUUGAGCUCUGCAACAAUCAGUCAACUCAUUGAAAACAUAGUCAUUGAAACAGCAGAAGAAACAAGUGGAACAUCAGCUGGAAGAAGAAAAGAAAACCAACAAUGAAAUACACAAAGCACAAAUGGAGCAGUUAGAGACAAUCAACAUCCUCAUGUUGGAAAAAGCAGACUUGAAGACCACCCUUUACCAUACUAAACGUGCUGCCCGGCACUUUGAAGCAGAAUCUAAGGAUCUGGCCAGCCACCUGCAAUAUUCCUUGCAGUGUAUUGGAGAGUUGGAGUGGGCUCUCUGUGCUGUGUCUCCAUGCAGCAGCAGGAGGAGGACAGGGUGACUGAAACAGGAGAGGCUGCGGGAGCAGGAGGAGAGGCUGCGGGAGUAGGAGGAGAGACUGCUGGAGCAGGAGAGACUGCUGGAGCAGGAGGGGCUGCAGGAACAGGGGGAGAGGCUGAGAAAGCAGGAGGAGAGGCUGCUACAGAAGGAGAGGCUGCUGGAGCAGGAGGAGAGGCUGCAAAGGCAGGAGGAGAGGCUGAGGGAAGAGGAAGAGAGGCUGUGGGAGCAGGAGCAGAGGCUGAGGGAGCAGGAGGAGAGGCUGCUGGAACUGGAGCAGAAAGCCAAGCUCUGGGACGAGCAGGCAGAGACACACAUGCAAACCAUGCGGAAUGACUGCACCACCAUCAGCCACAUGCUCUCGCAGAACCACGAGCUUGAUAAGCAGCUGGGCGAGCCACAGUACGACUUCCAGGAGCUGGUGGGGCGCACUGCAGUUGGAGCAGCAAGUAAAGUUGCUGCAGGAGAAGCUGGUGCCUAGAAGCUGCCAGCCAGCAGAAACAGCAGCUAGAGGCCCAGUUGAGCCUCAUGGCUCUCCCUGGAGAAAAGAUGGAGGAGGACAUCUGGACAGUGAGGAGGAGGAGGUGCCUUAGCCCCUUCCGAGCAUCCUGGAGGACCUGGAGAGCCGGGAGGCCAUG
rnacentral:lncRNA from 1 species